GGGCGGUAGGGGAUGCUACACAUGCAGUCGAACGGAAACGAUGGAAGCUUGCUUCCAGGCGUCGAGUGGCGGACGGCUGUGUAAUACUUAGGAAUCUGCCCAGUAGUGGGGGACAACCGGCAGAAAUUCUGGCUAAUACCGCAUACACACUACGGUGGAAAGUGGAGGAUCUUCGGACUUCACGCUAUUGGAUGAGCCUAAGUCGGAUUAGCUUGUUGGUGAGGUAACGGCUCACCAAGGCGACGAUCCGUAGCUGGUCUGAGAGGACGAUCAGCCACACUGGGACUGAGACACGGCCCAGACUCCUACGGGAGGCAGCAGUGGGGAAUAUUGGACAAUGGGCGCAAGCCUGAUCCAGCAAUGCCGCGUGUGUGAAGAAGGCCUGCGGGUUGUAAAGCACUUUCAGUAGAGAAGAAAAGCCUAGGGUUAGUACCCCUGAGUCUUGACGUUACCUACAGAAGAAGCACCGGCUAACUCCGUGCCAGCAGCCGCGGUAAUACGGAGGGUGCGAGCGUUAAUCGGAAUUACUGGGCGUAAAGCGCGCGUAGGCGGCUUUGUAAGUCGGAUGUGAAAGCCCCGGGCUUAACCUGGGAAUUGCAUUCGAUACUGCAGAGCUAGAGUAUGGUAGAGGGAAGUGGAAUUUCCGGUGUAGCGGUGAAAUGCGUAGAUAUCGGAAGGAACACCAGUGGCGAAGGCGACUUCCUGGGGCCAUACUGACGCUGAGGUGCGAAAGCGUGGGGAGCAAACAAGAAUAGAUACCCUGGUAGUCCACGCCGUAAACAAUGAGAACUAGAUGGCGGGAAGGUCUGCCUUUUCGUGUCCCACCUAACGCGUUAAGUUCUCCGCCUGGGAAGAACGCCGGCACCGUAAACGAAUUCCCGGG
rnacentral:rRNA from 1 species